AGCGAACGCUGGCGGCAGGCUUAACACAUGCAAGUCGAGCGCCCGUAGCAAUACGGGAGCGGCAGACGGGAGAGUAACACGUGGGAACGCGCCCUUCGGUUCGGAAUAACUCAGGGAAACUUGAGCUAAUACCGGAUACGCCCUAACGGGGAAAGAUUUAUCGCCGAAGGAACGGCCCGCGUCGGAUUAGCUAGUUGGUGAGGUAAUGGCUCACCAAGGCGACGAUCCGUAGCUGGUCUGAGAGGAUGACCAGCCUCACUGGGACUGAGACACGGCCCAGACUCCUACGGGAGGCAGCAGUGGGGAAUAUUGGACAAUGGGCGCAAGCCUGAUCCAGCCAUGCCGCGUGGAUGAUGAAGGCCUUAGGGUUGUAAAGUCCUUUUAACGGGGAAGAUAAUG
rnacentral:rRNA from 1 species